GAACGCACAUUGCGCCCGGUGGCAUUCCGCCGGGCAUGCCUGUUCGAGCGUCAUUUAAACCAAUCCAGCCUCGUGCUUGGGUCUUGGGCCUUUCGCCUCUGGGCGGGCCUUAAAAUCAGUGGCGGUGCCGUCUGGCUCUAAGCGUAGUAACAUAUCCUCGCUAUAGACGUCCGGUGGUGUCUUGCCAGCAACCCCUAAUUUUCAAGGUUGACCUCGGAUCAGGUAGGGAUACCCGCUGAACUUAAG
rnacentral:misc_RNA from 1 species